CUGACACAGGUGCUGCAUGGCUGUCGUCAGCUCGUGUCGUGAGAUGUUGGGUUAAGUCCGUAACGAGCGCAACCCUUGUCCUUAGUUACCAGCACGUUAUGGUGGGCACUCUAAGGAGACUGCCGGUGACAAACCGGAGGAAGGUGGGGGAUGACGUCAAGUCAUCAUGGCCCUUACGGCCUGGGCUACACACGUGCUACAAUGGUCGGUACAAAGGGUUGCCAAGCCGCGAGGUGGAGCUAAUCCCAUAAAACCGAUCGUAGUCCGGAUCGCAGUCUGCAACUCGACUGCGUGAAGUCGGAAUCGCUAGUAAUCGUGAAUCAGAAUGUCACGGUGAAUACGUUCCCGGGCCUU
rnacentral:rRNA from 1 species